rnacentral:rRNA from 1 species
GCGUGGCAUACGGCUCAGUAACACGUAGUCAACAUGCCCAGGGGACGUGGAUAACCUCGGGAAACUGAGGAUAAACCGCGAUAGGCCAAGGUUUCUGGAAUGGACACUGGCUGAAACCUAUAUGGCCCCUGGAUUGGACUGCGGCCGAUCAGGCUGUUGGUGAGGUAAUGGCCCACCAAACCUGUAACCGGUACGGGCUUUGAGAGAAGGAGCCCGGAGAUGGGCACUGAGACAAGGGCCCAGGCCCUAUGGGGCGCAGCAGGCGCGAAAAUUCUGCAAUAGGCGAAAGCUUGACAGAGUUACUCUGAGUGAUGCCCGCUAAGGGCAUCUUUUGGCACCUCUAAAAAUGGUGCAGAAUAAGGGGUGGGCAAGUCUGGUGUCAGCCGCCGCGGUAAUACCAGCACCCCGAGUGGUCGGGACGAUUAUUGGGCCUAAAGCAUCCGUAGCUUGUUCUGCAAGUCUUCCGUUAAAUCCACCUGCUCAACAGAUGGGCUGCGGGAGAUACUACAGGGCUAGGAGGCGGGAGAGGCAAGCGGUACUCAGUGGGUAGGGGUAAAAUCCUCUGAUCCACUGAAGACCACCAGUGGCGAAGGCGGCUUGCCAGAACGCGCUCGACGGUGAGGGAUGAAAGCUGGGGGAGCAAACCGGAUUAGAUACCCGGGUAGUCCCAGCUGUAAAC